CACGAAACUAUGUGAGCUAAUUUUGAUACGUUGUCAUGUAGUAGAAUGAUGAGAUUAAGAAAAAUUAGGGGUGAUAGGCCUUACAAACAUAGUGAUAUCUUGAUUUCCCUGAAAUGUAUAAGUACAUAAACGGAUUUAAAGCUAUAAGGUUUUAAAUAAUAAUAAAAGUUAAAUUAUAUUGUGUAAGAUAUAAAAGUCUAUUCAUUAAUAAUAAUAAAAUAGUAGUUAUUUAAUUGUUAAUUAUAAGGUGAUGUAGAGUAAUUUAUUAACUAUUAAUAAUGUUAUUAUAAGUAUUAAGAAGAUGCUAAUAGUGAAUUCGGCAUUAAGUUUUCAACUGUUUAUCAAAAACAUAGCUGCGUGUAAAUACACGCAGUGUUUUCUGCUCAAUGAAUAUUAAAUAGCCGCAGUACCUUGACUGUGCAAAGGUAGCGUAAUCAUUUGUCUUUUAAUUGAAGUCGUGUAUGAAUGAAUAUAUGGGGACUUUCUUUACCAUUAGCACGAGCAGAAAUUGUUUAGUGAGUGAAAAAGCUCAUAUUUAAAUAAUAGACGAGAAGACCCUAGAAAUUUACGACUAAUUUUUGUUGGGGCAACAUAGUAACAAAUAACUUACUUUAUGUAUAUGAAAUAUAUUUGAUAACUUAAAUUACUCUAGGGAUAACAGCAUAAUAUUUGAAUGUUUGUGACCUCGAUGUUGGAUUAGGGAGUUAUAGUUUAGAA
rnacentral:rRNA from 1 species